rnacentral:rRNA from 1 species
UGAGGAAUCUUGCGCAAUGGGCGAAAGCCUGACGCAGCCACGCCGCGUGCCGGAUGAAGGCCCUAUGGGUUGUAAACGGCUUUUAAGCAGGAAGAACGACCGGAUUUCGAUCUGGUGUGACGGUACUGCUUGAAUAAGCACCGGCUAACUCCGUGCCAGCAGCCGCGGUAAUACGGAGGGUGCAAGCGUUGUCCGGAAUCAUUGGGUGUAAAGGGUGCGUAGGCGGGCGUCUAAGUCUGGGGUGAAAUCUUGCCGCUUAACGGUAAAAUGGCCUUGGAUACUGGGCGUCUUGAGUGUAGAAGAGGUAAGUGGAAUUCGUAGUGUAGCGGUGAAAUGCAUAGAUAUUACGAAGAACAUCAGUGGCGAAGGCGGCUUACUGGUCUACAACUGACGCUGAGGCACGAAAGCGUGGGGAGCGAACAGGAUUAGAUACCCUGGUAGUCCACGCUGUAAACGAUGCAUACUAGGUGUUGGCCUUUCGGGGCCAGUGCUGCAGUUAACGCAUUAAGUAUGCCACCUGGGGAGUACGUCGGCAACGAUG